rnacentral:rRNA from 1 species
ACUCCUACGGGAGGCAGCAGUGAGGAAUAUUGCGCAAUGGGCGAAAGCCAGACGCAGCAACGCCGCGUGGACGAUGAAGGCCUUCGGGUCGUAAAGUCCUUUUCAGGGGGACGAGUGAGGACGGUACCCCUGGAAUAAGUCACGGCUAACUACGUGCCAGCAGCCGCGGUAAAACGUAGGUGGCAAGCGUUAUCCGGAUUCACUGGGCGUAAAGCGCCUGCAGGCGGUCCUGUAAGUGGGACGUGAAAUCUCUUGGCUUAACUGGGAGGGGUCGUUCCAUACUGCAGGGCUAGAGGGCAGAAGAGGGAAGUGGAAUUCCCGGUGUAGUGGUGAAAUGCGUAGAUAUCGGGAGGAACACCAGUGGCGAAGGCGGCUUCCUGGUCUGCACCUGACGCUAAGAGGCGAAAGCUAGGGGAGCGAACGGGAUUAGAAACCCCGGUAGUCCUAGCCGUAAACGAUGGAUGCUGGGUGUCGGUGGUCCUAACCCCAUCGGUGCCGAAGCCAACGCGUUAAGCAUCCCGCCUGGG